GAAACGGUAGCUAAUACCGCAUAACGUCGCAAGACCAAAGAGGGGGACCUUCGGGCCUCUUGCCAUCAGAUGUGCCCAGAUGGGAUUAGCUAGUAGGUGGGGUAACGGCUCACCUAGGCGACGAUCCCUAGCUGGUCUGAGAGGAUGACCAGCCACACUGGAACUGAGACACGGUCCAGACUCCUACGGGAGGGCAGCAGUGGGGAAUAUUGCACAAUGGGCGCAAGCCUGAUGCAGCCAUGCCGCGUGUAUGAAGAAGGCCUUCGGGUUGUAAAGUACUUUCAGCGGGGAGGAAGGUGUUGUGGUUAAUAACCACAGCAAUUGACGUUACCCGCAGAAGAAGCACCGGCUAACUCCGUGCCAGCAGCCGCGGUAAUACGGAGGGUGCAAGCGUUAAUCGGAAUUACUGGGCGUAAAGCGCACGCAGGCGGUCUGUCAAGUCGGAUGUGAAAUCCCCGGGCUCAACCUGGGAACUGCAUUCGAAACUGGCAGGCUAGAGUCUUGUAGAGGGGGGUAGAAUUCCAGGUGUAGCGGUGAAAUGCGUAGAGAUCUGGAGGAAUACCGGUGGCGAAGGCGGCCCCCUGGACAAAGACUGACGCUCAGGUGCGAAAGCGUGGGGAGCAAACAGGAUUAGAUACCCUGGUAGUCCACGCCGUAAACGAUGUCGACUUGGAGGUUGUGCCCUUGAGGCGUGGCUUCCGGAGCUAACGCGUUAAGUCGACCGCCUGGGGAGUACGGCCGCAAGGUUAAAACUCAAAUGAAUUGACGGGGGCCCGCACAAGCGGUGGAGCAUGUGGUUUAAUUCGAUGCAACGCGAAGAACCUUACCUACUCUUGACAUCCAGAGAACUUACCAGAGAUGCAUUGGUGCCUUCGGGAACUCUGAGACAGGUGCUGCAUGGCUGUCGUCAGCUCGUGUUGUGAAAUGUUGGGUUAAGUCCCGCAACGAGCGCAACCCUUAUCCUUUGUUGCCAGCGGUCAGGCCGGGAACUCAAAGGAGACUGCCAGUGAUAAACUGGAGGAAAGGUGGGGAUGACGUCCAGUCAUCAUGGCCCUUACAAGUAGGGCUACACACCUGCUACAAUGGCGCAAACAAAGAAAAACGACCUCCCGAAAACAAGCGGACCUCAUAAAGUGCCUCCUAAUCCGGAUUGGAAUCUGCA
rnacentral:rRNA from 1 species